rnacentral:rRNA from 1 species
GGUUAAGCGACUAAGCGUACACGGUGGAUGCCCUGGCAGUCAGAGGCGAUGAAGGGCGUGCUAAUCUGCGAUAAGCGCCGGUAAGGUGAUAUGAACCGUUAUAACCGGCGAUACCCGAAUGGGGAAACCCAGUGUGAUUCGUCACACUAUCAUUAACUGAAUCCAUAGGUUAAUGAGGCGAACCGGGGGAACUGAAACAUCUAAGUACCCCGAGGAAAAGAAAUCAACCGAGAUUCCCCCAGUAGCGGCGAGCGAACGGGGAGGAGCCCAGAGCCUGAAUCAGCAUGUGUGUUAGUGGAAGCGUCUGGAAAGGCGCGCGAUACAGGGUGACAGCCCCGUACACAAAAGCGUAUGUGCUGUGAGCUCGAUGAGUAGGGCGGGACACGUGGUAUCCUGUCUGAAUAUGGGGGGACCAUCCUCCAAGGCUAAAUACUCCUGACUGACCGAUAGUGAACCAGUACCGUGAGGGAAAGGCGAAAAGAACCCCGGCGAGGGGAGUGAAAAAGAACCUGAAACCGUGUACGUACAAGCAGUGGGAGCACCCUUUGGGGUGUGACUGCGUACCUUUUGUAUAAUGGGUCAGCGACUUAUAUUCUGUAGCAAGGUUAACCGAAUAGGGGAGCCGGAGGGAAACCGAGUCUUAAUUGGGCGUUAAGUUGCAGGGUAUAGACCCGAAACCCGGUGAUCUAGCCAUGGGCAGGUUGAAGGUUGGGUAACACUAACUGGAGGACCGAACCGACUAAUGUUGAAAAAUUAGCGGAUGACCUGUGGCUGGGGGUGAAAGGCCAAUCAAACCGGGAGAUAGCUGGUUCUCCCCGAAAGCUAUUUAGGUAGCGCCUCGUGAAUUCAUCUCCGGGGGUAGAGCACUGUUUCGGCUAGGGGGUCAUCCCGACUUACCAACCCGAUGCAAACUGCGAAUACCGGAGAAUGUUAUCACGGGAGACACACGGCGGGUGCUAACGUCCGUCGUGAAGAGGGAAACAACCCAGACCGCCAGCUAAGGUCCCAAAGUCAUGGUUAAGUGGGAAACGAUGUGGGAAGGCACAGACAGCCAGGAUGUUGGCUUAGAAGCAGCCAUCAUUUAAAGAAAGCGUAAUAGCUCACUGGUCGAGUCGGCCUGCGCGGAAGAUGUAACGGGGCUAAACCAUGCACCGAAGCUGCGGCAGCGACACUCAGGUGU